ensembl:misc_RNA Metazoa_SRP Metazoan signal recognition particle RNA
GUUGGGCAUAGUGGAGCAUGUCUGUGAUCUCUGCUACUGGGAGGCUGAGGCUGGCAGAUCACUUAAGUCUGGGAGUUCUGGGCUGCAGUGAGCUAUACUCGUCGGGUGUCCACACUAAGUUCAGCAUCAAUAUGGUGAGCCCCUGGGAGUCGGGGGUGAGGGAGUGGGGGGUGGGAGGCGGGGUGGGGGGGUGGGGGGAAUCAGGUUGCCUAAGGAGGGACGAACUGGUUCAGGUUGGAAAUGGAGCAGGUCAAAGCUCCCAUGCUGAUCAGUAGUGGGAUUGCAUUCUUUCACUUGGGCUUUUUUCUAUUCUCUUAUGGAAAGGCUCUCAGCUAUUU